UGGUGUUGAUUGCGGUGAGGGUCCACCCGUUCCCAUUCCGAACACGGCAGUUAAGCUCAUCUGCGCCGAAAAUACUUGGCUGGCGACGGCCCGGGAAGAUAGGUAACGC
rnacentral:rRNA from 1 species